GGCCGAAAAGAGAUCAGUUCUAACCUGCUCGGCAGGAAUAACGGUCCUGCCUCCCGACACUCUUGGCGAGGUUUUGUUCAGUUUGCUCCGGGAGCUGUUUCUUCGCCUCCACCUUUUUCUCCCCCACACUUCGCGGCUUCUUCAUGCUUUUUCUUCUCACCAUUUCUGGCCAAAACUACAAACAAGACUUCGCAGGUAGGUCCCCCCCCCCCUUCUUUUCCUCCUCUUUUUAUCCUUUUUUGGUGUGCUUGUCCCCCAUCCUCCCUCUCUAAUUUUCUCAUUUCGAGUGGGGAUGUUAGUCUGAAGAGAGCCGGGUGUCUGUGGACAGGAAUUUCAGGUGGUUUUAGCUCCUCGGUGGCAGACUUUUCCCAAGAGUGGCUUCUUUGCUUUCUCU
rnacentral:lncRNA from 1 species